rnacentral:rRNA from 1 species
GAUGAACGCUGGCGGCGUGCCUAAUACAUGCAAGUCGAGCGAACGGACGAGAAGCUUGCUUCUCUGAUGUUAGCGGCGGACGGGUGAGUAACACGUGGAUAACCUACCUAUAAGACUGGGAUAACUUCGGGAAACCGUAGCUAAUACCGGAUAAUAUUUUGAACCGCAUGGUUAAAAAGUGAAAGACGGUCUUGCUGUCACUUAUAGAUGGAUCCGCGCUGCAUUAGCUAGUUGGUAAGGUAACGGCUUACCAAGGCAACGAUGCAUAGCCGACCUGAGAGGGUGAUCGGCCACACUGGAACUGAGACACGGUCCAGACUCCUACGGGAGGCAGCAGUAGGGAAUCUUCCGCAAUGGGCGAAAGCCUGACGGAGCAACGCCGCGUGAGUGAUGAAGGUCUUCGGGUCGUAAAACUCUGUUAUUAGGGAAGAACAUAUGUGUAAGUAACUGUGCACAUCUUGACGGUACCUAAUCAGAAAGCCACGGCUAACUACGUG